GUACGUACGAUCUCGCACUAUUGGGCGUAAAGGCUCGCAGGCGGUUUCUUAGGUCUGAUGUGAAAGCCCCCGGCUCCGCCGGGGGGGGUCAUUGGAAACUGGGGAACUUGAGUGCAGAGUAGGAGAGUGGAAUUCCACGUGUAGGGGUGAAAUGCUAGAGAGAUGUGGAGGAACACCAGUGGCGAAGGCGACUCUCUGGUCUGUAACUGACGCUGAGGAGCGAAAGCGUGGGGAGCGAACAGGAUUAGAUACCCUGGUAGUCCACGCCGUAAACGAUGAGUGCUAAGUGUUAGGGGGUUUCCGCCCCUUAGUGCUGCAGCUAACGCAUUAAGCACUCCGCCUGGGGAGUACGGUCGCAAGACUGAAACUCAAAGGAAUUGACGGGGGCCCGCACAAGCGGUGGAGCAUGUGGUUUAAUUCGAAGCAACGCGAAGAACCUUACCAGGUCUUGACAUCCUCUGACAAUCCUAGAGAUAGGACGUCCCCUUCGGGGGCAGAGUGACAGGUGGUGCAUGGUUGUCGUCAGCUCGUGUCGUGAGAUGUUGGGUUAAGUCCCGCAACGAGCGCAACCCUUGAUCUUAGUUGCCAGCAUUCAGUUGGGCACUCUAAGGUGACUGCCGGUGACAAACCGGAGGAAGGUGGGGAUGACGUCAAAUCAUCAUGCCCCUUAUGACCUGGGCUACACACGUGCUACAAUGGACAGAACAAAGGGCAGCGAAACCGCGAGGUUAAGCCAAUCCCACAAAUCUGUUCUCAGUUCGGAUCGCAGUCUGCAACUCGACUGCGUGAAGCUGGAAUCGCUAGUUAUCGCGGAUCAGCAUGC
rnacentral:rRNA from 1 species